GCCGCCAUAGCUCAGUAGGUAGAGCGCUUCCAUGGUAAGGAAGAAGUCGUCGGUUCAAGUCCGAUUGGCGGCU
rnacentral:tRNA from 1 species